rnacentral:rRNA from 1 species
CACGUAGGGGGCAAGCGUUGUCCGGAUUAUUGGGCGUAAAGAGCUCGUAGGUGGUUCGGUAAGUCGGGUGUUAAACCCCCAGGCUCAACCUGGGGACGCACUCGAUACUGCUGUGACUAGAGUCCGGUAGGGGAGCGUGGAAUUCCUGGUGUAGCGGUGAAAUGCGCAGAUAUCAGGAGGAACACCAGCGGCGAAGGCGGCGCUCUGGGCCGGUACUGACACUGAGGAGCGAAAGCGUGGGUAGCAAACAGG